UACGGGGGAGCAAGCGUUGUUCGGAUUUACUGGCGUAAAGGGCGCGUAGGCGGUCAGCACAAGUCAGUUGUGAAAUCUCCGGGCUUAACUCGGAAAGGUCAACUGAUACUGUGCGACUAGAGUGCAGAAGGGGCAACUGGAAUUCUCGGUGUAGCGGUGAAAUGCGUAGAUAUCGAGAGGAACACCUGCGGCGAAGGCGGGUUGCUGGGCUGACACUGACGCUGAUGCGCGAAAGCCAGGGGAGCGAACGGG
rnacentral:rRNA from 1 species